CACAAGCACUCCAUGCUCCAUCUCCCUCCUGUGUGUAAAGAGAGAGGAACCUUUUUUGGGCAUCUUCUUCAUGAAAAUUCUGUUUAUCAUCUACUUGUUUCGGGGGGAAACCUUUUCAUACAAGUGACGUAUAUUUGCUCUGUGUGUAUAUGUGUAUGUAUGUAUUUUGGUAUAUGUAAGCGAGAUGAAAAUGUUAAGACGACAAAGAAUAUUGCUAAUCAUACUGGCCUUUUCUAUAUAAGAAUUUCUGAUUAUUCUUUGAAAUAAACUGAAUUCUCAUAGGGUUACAGUGUUUUAUUUACUUCAAAUAUAUGUCAAGGAGAAAGCAGCUGCUCUUUUUGUGCUGGGCUCUCUGACAUGAUUUGGGUCCAUGUGCAGCAACAGCAGGAAGUUUAUAUCAUAGAUCUAAAGGUGGUCUCGAGUGAAUUGUUAUCAAGAGUUUAGUGAUAGUGAAAAUAACUAAGUCUGACCCAGCUAAUUUAAGAAGUGAUUUCUAGAUGAAAUAUUUGCUGGCCUAUAUUGAGGUGAGUACUUAGACCUGCAGAUAAACAUUUUCAGCUGCUAGCAUGCAUGUUCAGUAAGCUAUACCUAUUUAACUCCUGUCCACCAAGCUUUGUCUUAAUUUUUGUCAGUAGUUUUGUUACUCUCUGCUCUCAUAUUAUUUAUAAAUGUACCCUUUAGCUAAAAGUUGUUUUUUUUUCUUCUUUUUUUUUAAUAUUUUCUAAAAUGCUAUACAUAGAUAAAUUUUCUUUGCUGGUGUCACAUUAAAAGCUCUCAGUCCAUUCUGUGGGGUGAUUGGUGUUAGGAAGGGCAUCCAGCCAUAAAAACCAUGCCAAACAGACACAGAAGUCUGGUGCAGUCUUCUGCCUGGCUAGCUCCUCUCAAAUCCAACCCAUGCCAGCAUGGAAGGCAAAUGUUAAAUGAUGAUGAUCAAAUAGUUUUAAGAGAUAGCCUAAUACCUUGUUAAUGUAUUAAAUGUGAGUUUGUUUUAUCAAAACUCUGAAACUUUUCUUUAUUGCUUGGUGGUAGAAGGCUUCCAAGGCCAUGUAUCCAUGUUUUGGGUGAUUUACAUCUCUUAACAAAGUUUUAAUUAAAAGUUAAUCUACAACAUUGAAGACAAGUGAUUCUAAAGAACACUUUACUGUAAGUUACAGGCUUUUUCUUUAUCUAAACCAGUGUGUUGGCCAGUCAGGCAGUGAGCAAUAGCGUGGUAGCCUUAGUGUUGGAAAUAAGACUAUAAGAGCUAAGCAACAUGCAUAGAAGGAGUAGCAAAACCUGGGUAGCAAUGAACAAUACGAAUAAACUUGAUGGUUAGCGAUAAAACAGGGCUUAGUUAGCCAAGAGAAAGUUAGUUUGAGAGGCUUGCAGUGUUGGGAGUUGCAAGGACAUGGAAUGUCAUUGUUUGAGAAGUGUAUUUAAAUGAUACAGUCACUCUUGGUUUCUAAAAUAAUAUUUGGUGGAAGACAUGGAAAUGUCAUUAUGAGAAGUAAGUCUGUAGAGGUUAAUCCAUAGUGAUGAGAUAACAUGAAAAAGAUGAAAGCUGUAGAAGUUAUCAGAGAUUGUUGCUGAGAUUGUGAAAAUAUCAGGUUGUGUAGAAUCUAUUUUAAGUACUUAGGUAAUGAGAGGUCCUUAUCCUCUGUGAUUAGUAUAACAGUAUCGACAUAAACUGAGACAAGGGCAAAGGAGAGGCUUUAGAGAAAGGUAUUACAGAGACUUAAGUGUGAAAAUAGUAAUGAAAGGGAGUUGGUGUGGUUAAUACAAGACAAUAGAAUUAGAUUUAUGCCUGAACAUGGAUCCACAGCUACCUUGUUUCCAGUGAAACUCUUGCAAGAAAAAUUAAGAGCAAAUAAACUAAAAACAAAAUUUCUCAUUCAUUUGUUUAUUGAAGAUAGCAUUUAAUAGAGAUCCAUGUCUUGUGGGUGUGUGGUAAGUAGUUUGCUACCCAACCACAUGGUUUUAGGUUCAGUCCUACUGCAUGUCACCUUGACCAAAUGUCUUCUACCAUAGCUCAGGCUGACCAAAGCCUUAUGAGUGGAUUUGGUUGAUGGAAACUGAAAGAAGCCUGUUGUAUGAGUGUGUGCAUGUG